rnacentral:rRNA from 1 species
UAGUCGCGCCGGCCGCCGCGCCGGGCGCUGACUUCUUAGAGGGACAAGUGGCGUUCAGCCACGCGAGAUUGAGCAAUAACAGGUCUGUGAUGCCCUUAGAUGUUCGGGGCCGCACGCGCGCUACACUGAAGGGAUCAGCGGGUGGAUCGCCCUUGGCCGGAAGGUCUGGGCAAUCCGUUGAACCUCAUUCGUGCUUGGGAUAGGGAGUUGCAAUUGUCUCCCUUGAACGAGGAAUUCCCAGUAAGCGCGAGUCAUCAGCUCGCGUUGAUUACGUCCCUGCCCUUUGUA